rnacentral:rRNA from 1 species
GCCUACGGGGGGCAGCAGUGGGGAAUAUUGGACAAUGGGCGCAAGCCUGAUCCAGCCAUGCCGCGUGAGUGAUGAAGGCCCUAGGGUUGUAAAGCUCUUUCACCGAUGAAGAUAAUGACGGUAGUCGGAGAAGAAGCCCCGGCUAACUUCGUGCCAGCAGCCGCGGUAAUACGAAGGGGGCUAGCGUUGUUCGGAAUUACUGGGCGUAAAGCGCACGUAGGCGGAUAUUUAAGUCAGGGGUGAAAUCCCGCAGCUCAACUGCGGAACUGCCUUUGAUACUGGGUAUCUUGAGUAUGGAAGAGGUGAGUGGAAUUCCGAGUGUAGAGGUGAAAUUCGUAGAUAUUCGGAGGAACACCAGUGGCGAAGGCGGCUCACUGGUCCAUUACUGACGCUGAGGUGCGAAAGCGUGGGGAGCAAACAGGAUUAGAUACCCUUGUAGUC